UUCUGACCGUAAACGAUGCCAACUAGCGAUCCGCCGGUGGAUUUUUAGCCCUGGUGGGUAGCUUCCCGGAAACGAAAGUCUUCCGGUUCCGGGGGAAGUAUGGUUGCAAAGCUGAAACUUAAAGGAAUUGACGGAAGGGCACCACCAGGAGUGGAGCCUGCGGCUUAAUUUGACUCAACACGGGGAAACUCACCCGGCCCGGACACCGUAAGGAUUGACAGAUUGAUAGCUCUUUCAUGAUUCGGUGGUUGGUGGUGCAUGGCCGUUCUUAGUUCGUGGAUCGAUUUGUCUGGUUUAUUCCGAUAACGAGCGAGACUCUAGCCUACUAAAUAGUAACGAGAUUAUCAAUGUCUCAGUUGCUUCUUAGAGGGAUUUUCGGUGUUUAGCCGCACGAGAUUGAGCAAUAACAGGUCUGUGAUGCCCUUAGAUGUCCGGGGCUGCACGCGCGCUACACUGGCGAAAUCAGCGUGCUGUAUCCAUUCUCGAAAGGGAUUGGUAAACCCAUGAAAAUUUGCCGGGCUUGGGAUCGGAAAUUGCAAUUAUUUUCCGUGAACGAGGAAUUCCAAGUAAGUGCGAGUCAUCAACUCGCUCUG
rnacentral:rRNA from 1 species